GACGAACGCUGGCGGCGUGCCUAAUACAUGCAAGUCGAGCGAAGUUUUUCUGGUGCUUGCACCGGAAAAACUUAGCGGCGAACGGGUGAGUAACACGUAAAGAACCUGCCUUAUAGACUGGGACAACUAUUGGAAACGAUAGCUAAUACCGGAUAACAGCAUUAACUGCAUGGUUGAUGUUUGAAAGUUGGUUUUGCUAACACUAUGAGAUGGCUUUGCGGUGCAUUAGCUAGUUGGUGGGGUAAAGGCCUACCAAGGCGACGAUGCAUAGCCGACCUGAGAGGGUGAUCGGCCACACUGGGACUGAGACACGGCCCAGACUCCUACGGGAGGCAGCAGUAGGGAAUCUUCCGCAAUGGGCGAAAGCCUGACGGAGCAACGCCGCGUGAGUGAAGAAGGAUUUCGGUUCGUAAAGCUCUGUUGUUAGGGAAGAAUGAGUGUGUAGUAACUAUACACAGUAGAGACGGUACCUAACCAGAAAGCCACGGCUAACUACGUG
rnacentral:rRNA from 1 species